rnacentral:rRNA from 1 species
AUUAAGCGCCCCGCCUGGGGAGUACGGCCGCAAGGCUAAAACUCAAAGGAAUUGACGGGGGCCCGCACAAGCGGCGGAGCAUGUGGAUUAAUUCGAUGCAACGCGAAGAACCUUACCUGGGCUUGACAUACACCGGAUCGGGCUAGAGAUAGUCUUUCCCUUUGUGGCUGGUGUACAGGUGGUGCAUGGUUGUCGUCAGCUCGUGUCGUGAGAUGUUGGGUUAAGUCCCGCAACGAGCGCAACCCUUGUCUUAUGUUGCCAGCAUUUGGUUGGGGACUCAUGAGAGACUGCCGGGGUCAACUCGGAGGAAGGUGGGGAUGACGUCAAAUCAUCAUGCCCCUUAUGUCCAGGGCUUCACACAUGCUACAAUGGUCGGUACAACGCGCAGCGACACUGUGAGGUGGAGCGAAUCGCUGAAAGCCGGCCUUAGUUCGGAUUGGGGUCUGCAACUCGACCCCAUGAAGUCGGAGUCGCUAGUAAUCGCAGAUCAGCAACGCUGCGGUGAAUACGUUCCCGGGCCUUGUACACACCGCCCGUCACGUCAUGAAAGUUGGUAACACCCGAAGCCGGUGGCCCAAACUUGUUAGGGAGCCGUCGAAGGUGGGAUCGGCGAUUGGGACGAAGUCGUAACAAGGUACCCGUACCGGAAGGUGCGGGUGGAUCACCUCCUUU